CGGUUGAUCCUGUCGGAGGUUACUGCUAUCGAGGUUCGACUAAGCCAUGCGAGUCGAAUGCCGCAAGGCAUGGCGUACUGCUCAGUAACACGUGGACAACCUACCCUUAGGACUGGGAUCACCCCGGGAAACUGGGAAUAAUCCCCGAUAGUCCUCGAAGGCUGGAAUGCAUCGAGGGCGAAAGCUCCGGCGCCUAAGGAUGGGUCUGCGGCCUAUCAGGUAGUAGUGGGUGUAGCGUACCUACUAGCCUACGACGGGUACGGGUUGUGAGAGCAAGAGCCCGGAGAUGGAUUCUGAGACACGAAUCCAGGCCCUACGGGGUGCAGCAGGCGCGAAAACUUUACAAUGCUGGCAACAGCGAUAAGGGAACCUCGAGUGCCAGGUUACAAAUCUGGCUGUCGAGAUGCCUAAAAAGCAUUUCAUAGCAAGGGCCGGGCAAGACCGGUGCCAGCCGCCGCGGUAACACCGGCGGCUCGAGUGGUAACCGUUAUUAUUGGGUCUAAAGGGUCUGUAGCCGGCCGGAUAAGUCUCUUGGGAAAUCUGGCAGCUCAACUGUCAGGCUAUCAGGAGAUACUGUCUGGCUUGAUGCCGGGAGAGGUGAG
rnacentral:rRNA from 1 species